GACGAACGCUGGCGGCGUGCUUAACACAUGCAAGUCGAACGGAAAGGCCCUGCUUUUGUGGGGUGCUCGAGUGGCGAACGGGUGAGUAACACGUGAGUAACCUGCCCUUGACUUUGGAAUAACUUCAGGAAACAGGGGCUAAUACCGGAUAGGAGCUCCUGCUGCAUGGUGGGGGUUGGAAAGUUUCGGCGGUUGGGGAUGGACUCGCGGCUUAUCAGCUUGUUGGUGGGGUAGUGGCUUACCAAGGCUUUGACGGGUAGCCGGCCUGAGAGGGUGACCGGCCACAUUGGGACUGAGAUACGGCCCAGACUCCUACGGGAGGCAGCAGUGGGGAAUAUUGCACAAUGGGCGGAAGCCUGAUGCAGCAACGCCGCGUGCGGGAUGACGGCCUUCGGGUUGUAAACCGCUUUCGCCUGUGACGAAGCGUGAGUGACGGUAAUGGGUAAAGAAGCACCGGCUAACUACGUG
rnacentral:rRNA from 1 species